UACGGAGGGGGCUAGCGUUGUUCGGAAUUACUGGGCGUAAAGCGUACGUAGGCGGCUUUGUAAGUUAGAGGUGAAAGCCCGGGGCUCAACCCCGGAAUUGCCUUUAAGACUGCAUCGCUUGAAUCGCGGAGAGGUGAGUGGAAUUCCGAGUGUAGAGGUGAAAUUCGUAGAUAUUCGCAAGAACACCAGUGGCGAAGGCGGCUCACUGGUCCGGUACUGACGCUGAGGUGCGAAAGCGUGGGGAGCAAACAGG
rnacentral:rRNA from 1 species